GAGUUUGAUCCUGGCUCAGAUUGAACGCUGGCGGCAUGCCUUACACAUGCAAGUCGAACGGCAGCGCGGACUUCGGUCUGGCGGCGAGUGGCGAACGGGUGAGUAAUACAUCGGAACGUACCCUGUUGUGGGGGAUAACUAGUCGAAAGAUUAGCUAAUACCGCAUACGACCUGAGGGUGAAAGCGGGGGACCGCAAGGCCUCGCGCAGCAGGAGCGGCCGAUGUCUGAUUAGCUAGUUGGUGGGGUAAAGGCCCACCAAGGCGACGAUCAGUAGCUGGUCUGAGAGGACGAUCAGCCACACUGGGACUGAGACACGGCCCAGACUCCUACGGGAGGCAGCAGUGGGGAAUUUUGGACAAUGGGGGCAACCCUGAUCCAGCAAUGCCGCGUGUGUGAAGAAGGCCUUCGGGUUGUAAAGCACUUUUGUCCGGAAAGAAAACGCUCUGGUUAAUACCUGGAGUGGAUGACGGUACCGGAAGAAUAAGCACCGGCUAACUACGUGCCAGCAGCCGCGGUAAUACGUAGGGUGCGAGCGUUAAUCGGAAUUACUGGGCGUAAAGCGUGCGCAGGCGGUUUUGUAAGACAGGCGUGAAA
rnacentral:rRNA from 1 species